rnacentral:lncRNA from 1 species
AGCAUUUCUAAAUGACUUGAAGCUCUGUCACGGCAUAAUCUCUUAUAAAUAAAUGUCAGUGUAGUCACUGAAUGCAGACUGGAUUUUUGCCUGACUACGGUGCUCAGCCUUCUAGACAAUAGUUAUGCUAAGGGAUUAUCUUUUAACAUUGUGCAGUUAUCUCCUUUGUUUGUUUUCUUUUUUCAUUAUUCACAUAAGCCAAGGGAAAUGAAAAGCAUCUUAUUUCAGGCAAAAAGGCCUGUGAAUGAUUAACUCUGGUUCCAUGCGUUGGGACUUUGCAUAGCAACCCCGUGGCUUGCAACGACAAAAAAGCUCAAGGCAGGAACAGCAGCCCAGGGACCUGAGACCAGCGUUCUCAAAUGAAGGUGCCAGAUCUGCUGUUAGAGGAGAAUUCUUCUGUCCUAGCUGUGUCUCUGUGAUCUGUGGAUGAGGGUGGGAAAGCACCACUCAGUCAAUUGGGGUGUACAAAAUGGAGUUUGAGAAGGUCUCACAUCCAGGUUGUUUUGAAGCAAAGUCCAAGCAUUGUAUCACUUCAUCUGCAAAUAUUUCAAUAAGUACCCAAAAGACUUCCUAGGAUAGAGCUUGGAAAGGUUGGAAAAGUAAGGAUGAUUGAACUUGAAAGGUGUGAAUGAAAGAAGAAUUAUCUUUUGGGAUGGAGAAUAGUAGCUGUUUUCAAAGAAGAUUUUAUUUUAUCUUUCAUUUUUGGCCUAUAAGUUUUGCAGAGAAUCUGUGAUUAGAGUAUUUAGUAAAGUACUAUGUAAUUAUUGUUCUGUUAUUUGGACACAUGUUUAAACUAGAAUUUUGAAGAUAGCAAUUAGCAAUAAUUAUGUAUGUUCUAGCCACUUUAUUCAUUCUACCUCUUUUACCAUAUACUUUAAAGAUAUCUAUAUGGUAAAAGGUAAGUGGCAACUGAAUAAUCACAAAUACAUCAACAAGUAAAGAGAUGCUUUGUUUUAUUGAGUGCAUUCUUAUAUUUUCUCUUUUGCUGGAAUAAUAAGUGGGGUUUUAAACUGAUCUGUUCUAACAUUGUUUUUCCUCAUUUUCUCUCUCUUUAGAGGGUUUCAGCAGGUUUUCAUACAUUCUCAGUUAGAAGCUGUUAUAAUUUUUAAAAUAAUACUCUAGUUCUAGUUAUUCUAUCACGAGCUGAUUCUAUUUAUACAACAAAUAAAUACUAAUUAAAACUACUCUAUAACCUUGAACUGUACAUUAGGGAAGUUAUACCUAUGGUGGAUGACUGAAAAGAGAGUCCAGGAUAAACUGAUACAUCUAAUUGCACAUAGUAGCCUUCGAAUCAAGACUCUCAAAUAGUAAAAUGCACUAAGCCAAUAUGGAUGGGAAUAGCCUCCUGCUGUUUUCCCAACUAUUUGAAUUUUUAAUAUCUUCUCUUAUAGCUAUAUACUUUUGGUUCAUUUAUGCUAGCGGUGUUAUCAGUGAAUGUAUUUUUAGAUUCUGUAUUCCAUAUUUUAGAUUCUGUAUUCCAUAUUUAAUGAAAUUUUAUUUAUAGGAAAGAAAGAAUGGGUAUGCAUAAGGACCUAAUCAAAGAGGCCUCUGACACCUGUUGAGCAGUUGUGUGAGUGUGUGAUUAUCCAUGGAAAAGAAGAUCAGAGGGAAACGGUGUUUAAAGCCUUUGAUUAGUUAGCAGAGAGAAUGAAGCAAGCCAAGUGCUUUGCACAAAGUGACAGAAAUGAAGGUAGAAGAAACAGUUACAAAUGGUGGUGGUACUAGAAGUAAGCUUCCCAUAACUUCUACUCCGAACUUCAAGAAGGCUGUGGUUUUGUGGAUAUUCUUCCUUUGGCAGUCUACUAAAUUAGAAGAACUGGAAUAUUAAUAGUAUUGAAUUCUAGCUCUUCAAAAAUAUCACCAACACAAUCUGUUGUUUAUAAAAGCUGAGUUUAUUCUUACCAUCGUAAGGAAAAGAACUGCCUUGACAGAGUCUUACUAGUCUUGGAAUGAGGAUGGCAAAGUUGGGAUUCUUAGGAGGUUUGGGGUCUAGUAUGAGGUGAGUUUUCAUUGUGGAGGCUUGCUUGAUCAAGGUUGAGUAAGGUGGGUGUAAACAGCAAGGCUAGGGCAUUGAGGUGAGGAAAUUCAGAGUCUUGGGAGGUAAACUAUAAUUUCAUACUAUGUAUGGAAGAGUUGAACAAUGCGAUAUUAAUUUAAUGGGGUUCUUGGAAAGUUCCUGGGAAGAUUAGUAAUUUGCAACUUUUAUCUUACUGGGCUAUAGUUUCUUGGAAUAGUAAGGUAAUGAUAAAACAAAUACUAUAUGUGAUUAUUAGCCAAAUUAAUCAAGUUUAUGAUUUCGUUGGUUGCUUCUCAGAUUUUUUUUUAAAGAUUCCAGAGAAAUCUACUGGGAUGUGAGCACAACAUUCUUAACCUAAAACAGCAUAUGUUCACCCUUUGUAGCUUGACAUUCUGUCUAGAGCAAUGAUCCCCAACCUUUUUGGCACCAGGCACUGGUUUCGUGGAAGACAGUUUUUCCAUGGACAGCGGUAGUGAGGGAUGAUUUCGGGAUGAAUUUGUUCCACCUCGGAUCAUCAGGCAUUAGAUUCUCAUAAGGUGUGUGCAACCUAGAUCCCUCACAUGCACAGUUUCACGAUAGGGUUUGUGCUUCUAUGAUAAUCUAAUGCUGCUGGAGGAGGAGGUAGAGCUCAGGCAGUAAUACCCCCUUGCCUGCUGUUCACCUCCUGCUGUGUGGCCUGGUUCCUAACAGGCCACGGACCAGUGCUGGUCCACGGCCUGGGGACUGGGGAUCCUGGUCUACAGUGUCUCUGUUCUGAACAACUGCCUGUCUGAUUUCAUGAAUCUCUCAUGUAAGGAAUUCUAUAGACUUGGUGUCAUUGUUUAACUAUCUCCCUUGAACUAUGGCCUGUAGGAUUCUGCCUGCUUUCUAGUCCUUUUGUAAAGCAUCAAGAGAAGAGGUUUGAGGAGACAAGGAAUUAAUACAGAAAUCUCCCUGAAUAGUUAGGUUCAGUUUUUCUUCUUCUUAAAUUAAGUUUUCUAAUGAUCUCUUUUUUCUUGAGGGGAAACUCAUGGGGCAAAAUGGACUCUAGGUGAUGUCAGAGAUCAUGCUAAAGGUAGGAAUCCAUUUACCAAGAUAACAAUCCUUGUUUAAUUUUUAGUAGGAGCCUAUUGAUUUUUGUUCAAUAAAUCCAAUACCAGUGACUGGGGACUACCCAGUGAUUUGAUUUUGGUCCGUAUGUGGUUAUCAAAUACUCCCAUGUGGUUAUCAAAUAGUGUUUUAAAGUUUGGUGCUCCUCAUCAAGAAUGAUGUUUCACCAGGCAAUGACAUUUGUAUUGUUGAAAUUAUUUGGUAGAUAUAAAGCAAAAGUGAAGUAUGUUUAUUUAUAUGAUAUGUGAAAAUGAUACAGCCUCCAAAUACAUACCAUCUGUUUUCUAGUUCUCUUUUAAUUUCUAUUUCUGUGAACAUUUGGAUAUAAAAGUUUUUACCCUCAAAAGGUUCUAGAAUAUUCUUUUGGUGGAGACAGGAAUCUUCUUUUCUAGGUAUGAUGUGAUGCUGUGGGUAAGAUUACCAUCUGGUUGACCUGUUGUGCAUUUUCUAGCUUAAAAAAAAAUAACCUAAGGGUUGAAUCCAGUUACCCAAGAAACUAACUGAUUCACUACAGGGAACUGGUACCAAGGGAAGCUAGAUGACUCUCAAGUGAAAAUGUGCAAACUCCACGUUGAUUUUCCAGCUAAUGAGUAAGUUGUAGUCACAUAUUGGACUUAUACCAUAAAAUGACUAAGCAUGUGAAAAGCAACAUUAAGAAUAGCAGCCCCAAAGAUAAUAUAGAAGUAACAUAGUAGGCUGGGCGCGGUGACUCACGCCUGUAAUCCCAGCACUUUGGGAGGUUGAGGCAGGUGGAUCACGAGGUCAGGAGAUGGAGACCAUCCUGACUAACACGGUGAAACCCCGUCUCUACUAAAAAUACAAAAAAUUAGCCGGGUGUGG